UCUCUAUAAAAGCCAACCCUCUCACGACUCUGAAUCGAUCAUAUGUGCACCACCGAAGACGAUAAGAUGAGGACAGUCCUCAAGAGUCGUGCUUCUCUCCUCCUCACACUCGUCAUCAUCGUCUUCCUCGUCACAGCGAGAGGGGAGACGACCCCUGUGAAGGAAGCGAACUCGCAUAUUACAUACCAUGCCCCUAGCCGUCAGCCCGCGCCCCCCGGAGGACCCUAUACGAGGGGAUGCGGGAGCCAUUACUACUGCCGUCCGCCUUCUACCCCUCCGCCUCCGCCUUCGACCCCAUGAUAGGCUACUUCGGCAGCCUGGAGGAGUUGUUCCUUUGACGACGCAAAAUAUAUACAGGAGGCAGAUACGUACAAUAUAUAUAUAUAUAUAUAUAUAUAUAUAUAUAUAUAUAUAUAUAUAUAUAUAUUACUAUCACAAAAUAUCUUAGAGCCUUUGAGAUCAUUGUAUUGGACAAGUAGCACGUGCCUUUUAUAAACUCAAAAACUAAGGGUGUAGUCUCCGUCAACUCUUAUCAUGAUGUAACCAUAUAUUUUAUACUCCAUCGAGAAAUAAUUUUUUUACCCUUA